rnacentral:rRNA from 1 species
UACAGAGACUGCAAGCGUUAUUCGGAUUCACUGGGCGUAAAGGGUGCGCAGGCGGCCGUGUGUGUCAGGUGUGAAAGCCCGGGGCUUAACCCCGGAAUUGCGCCUGAAACUACAUGGCUAGAGCAUUGGAGAGGGUAGCGGAAUUCACGGUGUAGCAGUGAAAUGCGCAGAUAUCGUGAAGAACACCAGAGGCGAAGGCGGCUACCUGGACAAUUGCUGACGCUCAGGCACGAAAGCGUGGGGAGCAAAAGGG